AAUGUUCAUUCAAAUAACAUACAAUCACCAUUAAAAAGUGAUAUAUUAUAUGAAAAUGAUCCAAUUAUACAUAUAAUAAAUGAUCAUAAUUAUUCCGCGACAUAUGAAACAUUAAAAAGAAAAAUUAUUUACCAAGAGGCUAUUAUUAAACGCUUAAAAAAGGGCACAUGCUUAUUAUAGGAGCUCAAAAAGAGGAAAAAAUAAAAUAAUCAAUUUACAAACAAUAAUCACUUCACUAAAAGAUGAAAAUUUGUUAUCAGAUGAUGUCGAAAAUAUUAUAGACAGGCAAUUUACAGGGACAUCUUCUAUAUUCCUUAAAACACAUAUACACAGUGGAGGCAUCUCAAACCCACAAAAAAAUAUAUACAAGUGAAUUCCGUCAAUUUGCAUUAACUAUGCAUUUUUAUUCACCUAAGGCUUACAGAUAUCUCAAAUCACACUUUUGUAUGCCUCCGGAAUCCACAUUAAGGGCAUGGAGUCACAAGAUUGAAAUCAUGCCAGGUUUCCUUUCUAUUUCAUUUACUUAAAUUAAAAGCUACCAAAAAAAAUCAGAAAAGCAGUUGUAUUGUGUACUUAGCCUUGAUGAAAUGCAUAUUAAAACUCAAAUAGAUUAUGACCCCCACAAAGCAGAAUAUCAUAGUUAUGUUGAUUUAGGUGAUGGGACAAAAUCAACAAAAGAAGAUAAAUCUUGUCCAGAAGCAACAAAGGCACUCUUUCUUAUGGCUACCUGUCUUAAUAGCAGCUGAUAUGGUUAUGAUUUUGCAUUUUAUAUGUAUGGACCCCCUCUAAGAAAAAUUUCUAGCUAUGCCACUGGUAUGGAUCCUGAUAAUAUCAUUCCAUAUAUUGAGCUGGAAUUUUAUGAAUCGGAAAAAAUAUAUAUGUUACUAGAUGUUUGUCAUAUGCUCAAAUUACUUAUAAAUUUAUUAGCGGAGUAGGAAAUUUUAAUAAAUGAAUAAAAUGGAGAGAUAAUAGAUUGGAAGCAUAUACAAAAUUUACAUAAAUUGCAGGAGUGCGAAGGUUUACGUGCUGCAAAUAAAUUGCGCAAAGCACAUAUUGCUUUCCACAAACAAAAAAUGAAAGUAUUCGAUCUGCUGUUGGCAUUUCAUUAAUGGCGAAAUUGGAUACUACAAUUACAGGAAAUUGCAUUUCCUUAGAUAAUACUCAAUUAAUAUGUUCAAAUUUUCAAAAUAAUCAUGACGAUGAUUUUAAUUCUAUCAAAACUAUUUUCCAAUAAUACCCCAGGCAUUAUCUUAUUAUUUUAGCCAAACAAAUCCUCAUAUCCCGAAAUUAUCAUUAUAUUUAGAUAAUUUAACAACUUAUAUUUUGGGAUAUAUAGUACAACAACUUAUUAAAGAAAAAAAGGUACGAUGUGAUGUUUGCAUUAAUGCAAUGGUCAGUGAUUCAUAUAUUGAUAAUAAUAUAAAUAAUAUGCUCAUAAAUUUUAAAAAUAAUGGGGGGUUAGUGAUUCCUUCUUCUAAUAUGUCAUGCAGAAUUUGUGAAAGUUCAUUUAGAACUUAUCAAAAUGAUAUUAAACGUAAAAAUAUUAUUAAAAAAAUGGAAGUGUUGGUUUUUUCCUCAAUAAUUGGUACAAAUAUUUUUAUUGAUCUUACUGAACAUAUUAAUGAUGAGAUUGGUUACAGCCAUUUUCAAAUUCUUGUAAAAUUAAUUGUUCAAAGAUAUUUAAAUAUUAGAUUUUUUCAUUUUGCUGACUUGAGAAACCAGGAAUUGAGAACUGGUAUGAGGCAAAAUCUUACAAAAGCAAUACAUUUUAAUAAUCAUUAAGUCAUGUAAAUUAAUAUUUAUAUCUUCUUUUAUUUUUUAAAAAUUAUAUUGUAUAAAGAACAGGCCUGAUAUAAGACAUAUUAUAAAAAUUAUGAUAUUAUA